AUACAGCAAGAAGAAAUGUAUCAAUUGUUCAAUAAGCACAGUUGAAAUUUGGUGUCCAGGUUCACUCCCCACAAAAAUACAGGAAGCUCAACACAACAGAGGUGGAGUGACAGGAAUAACUUCCCCCACAAAACUGCAUUAGAUACUAAUCUUGACAAUUCUUCUAUUAAAUAGAAUUUACUAGGGUUCAAG